rnacentral:rRNA from 1 species
UACGAAGGUGGCAAGCGUUGUUCGGAAUCACUGGGCUUAAAGAGCACGUAGGCGGCCUCUCAAGCGCUUUGUGAAAUCCCUCGGCUCAACCGGGGAAUUGCUGGGCGAACUGUGAGGCUUGAGGCAAGUAGGGGUGCAUGGAACUCUUGGUGGAGCGGUGAAAUGCGUAGAUAUCAAGAGGAACGCCGGAGGCGAAAGCGGUGCACUGGGCUUGUCCUGACGCUGAGGUGCGAAAGCUAAGGGAGCAAACGGG